UACAGAGGGUGCGAGCGUUGUCCGGAAUCACUGGGCGUAAAGGGCGCGUAGGCGGCUUGAUAAGCGUGCGGUGAAAGCCCGGGGCUCAACCCCGGGUCGGCCGUGCGAACUGUCGAGCUGGAGCACUGUAGAGGCAGGUGGAAUUCCGGGUGUAGCGGUGGAAUGCGCAGAUAUCAGGAGGAACACCAAUGGCGAAGGCAGCUCGCUGGGACGUGACUGACGCUGAGACGCGAAAGCGUGGGGAGCAAACGGG
rnacentral:rRNA from 1 species